rnacentral:rRNA from 1 species
UACGUAGGGUGCAAGCGUUUAUCCGGAAUUAUUGGGCGUAAAGAGCUCGUAGGCGGUUUGUCGCGUCUGCUGUGAAAACCCGAGGCUCAACCUCGGGCCUGCAGUGGGUACGGGCAGACUAGAGUGCGGUAGGGGAGAUUGGAAUUCCUGGUGUAGCGGUGGAAUGCGCAGAUAUCAGGAGGGACACCGAUGGCGAAGGCAGGUCUCUGGGCCACUACUGACGCUGAGAAGCGAAAGCAUGGGGGAGCAAACAGG